rnacentral:rRNA from 1 species
CAAUAGCGUAUAUUAAAGUUGUUGCGGUUAAAAAGCUCGUAGUCGGAUUUCUGCCGAGGACGACCGGUCCGCCCUCUGGGUGAGUAUCUGGCUCGGCCUGGGCAUCUUCUUGGAGAACGUAGCUGCACUUGACUGUGUGGUGCGGUAUCCAGGACUUUUACUUUGAGGAAAUUAGAGUGUUUCAAGCAGGCUUACGCCUUGAAUACAUUAGCAUGGAAUAAUAAGAUAGGACCUCGGUUCUAUUUUGUUGGUUUCUAGAGCUGAGGUAAUGAUUAAUAGGGAUAGUUGGGGGCAUUCGUAUUUAACUGUCAGAGGUGAAAUUCUUGGAUUUGUUAAAGACGGACUACUGCGAANGNAUUUGCNAAGGAUGUUUNCAUUG